GAAACUAAAAGAAUUUGGCGGUGUAUUAUUUUAUCAGAGGAACUUGGUGAUUAAUCGAUAUUACACGCGCCACCUUACUAUAUUUAUAUAUUUAUAUAUCGCUGUUUUGAGUGAACUAAUAGGUUUUUCUCUUAGAUCUAUGAAUGAGGUAUUUCAGGUCAAGGUUUAGUUUAUGAUAUAGUUUUAUUGAGUUACAUUGCUGGCUGUGACAAAGAUUUAUNUAAAAGUGACCGUAAGAUGGAUUUGAAAGUAAUUAUGAUAAUAGGUGAAAGAU
rnacentral:rRNA from 1 species